GAUGUUCAUAACGAUCCUUGAAAAUCCGAGUACGGUGAUCCUAUCACAUCAGGUCGUACCCAUAACCGCAUCAGGUCUCCAAGGUUAGCAGCCUCUGGUCGAUAGAAUAAUGUAGAUAAGGGAAUUCGGCAAAUUAGAUCCGUAACUUCGGGAAAAGGAUUGGCUCUGAGGAUUGGGUGUUUAGAACCUUACUAGGACAAUGGAAACUAACUAGGACUUGUCGCAAGACAGGACCCUGUUGGAUGAAGUUAGAAUUGUGAGGAGCUCUUGCACAAGUAACAAUCGACUCAGAACUGAAGCGGACAAGGAGAAUCCGACUGUUAAUAAAACAUAGCAUUGUGAUGGCGUGAAAACGUGUUGACACAAUGUGAUUUCUGCCCAGUGCUUUGAAUGUGAAUAUGAAGUAAUUUGUAGAAGCUCAGGUAAACGGCGGGAGUAACUAUGACUCUCUUAAGGUAGCCAAAUGCCUCGUCAUCUAAUUAGUGACGCGCAUGAAU
rnacentral:rRNA from 1 species